rnacentral:rRNA from 1 species
AGGAUGAACGCUGGCGGCGUGCCUAACACAUGCAAGUCGAACGUCCUGUCUCGCAAGAGGCAGGGAGUGGCGGACGGGUGAGUACCACGUGGGUCAUCUACCGUGAGGUGAGGAAUACCGGCGAGAAAUCGCCGACAAGACCGCAUAGGCUCGAUGCAAGUCGAGCAAAGCUCUUUCGAGAGAGGGAGCGCCACACGAGGAGCCUGCGCCCGAUUAGCUAGCUGGUGGAGUAACGGUUCACCAGGGCGACGAUCGGUAGCUGGUCUGAGAGGACGAUCAGCCACACUGGGAUUGAGAACGGCCCAGACUCCUACGGGGGGCAGCAGUGGGGAAUAUUGCACAAUGGGCGGAAGCCUGAUGCAGCGACGCCGCGUGAGGGAUGACGGCCUUCGGGUUGUAAACCUCUUCAGCGGGACGAAGCGGUUGGAUUCUUCCAGCCGUGACUGUACCGCAGAAGAGCACCGGCUAACUACGUGCCACG